CGAGUCUUAACCGGGCGUUAAGUUGCAGGGUAUAGACCCGAAACCCGGUGAUCUAGCCAUGGGCAGGUUGAAGGUUGGGUAACACUAACUGGAGGACCGAACCGACUAAUGUUGAAAAAUUAGCGGAUGACCUGUGGCUGGGGGUGAAAGGCCAAUCAAACCGGGAGAUAGCUGGUUCUCCCCGAAAGCUAUUUAGGUAGCGCCUCGUGAAUUCAUCUCCGGGGGUAGAGCACUGUUUCGGCUAGGGGGCCAUCCCGGCUUACCAACCCGAUGCAAACUGCGAAUACCGGAGAAUGUUAUCACGGGAGACACACGGCGGGUGCUAACGUCCGUCGUGAAGAGGGAAACAACCCAGACCGCCAGCUAAGGUCCCAAAGUCAUGGUUAAGUGGGAAACGAUGUGGGAAGGCCCAGACAGCCAGGAUGUUGGCUUAGAAGCAGCCAUCAUUUAAAGAAAGCGUAAUAGCUCACUGGUCGAGUCGGCCUGCGCGGAAGAUGUAACGGGGCUAAACCAUGCAC
rnacentral:rRNA from 2 species